GAGGUUGUGGCUCAGCGGUUGAGCGCUCGCUUCUCACUUGCGAGACCCUGGGUUCGAUCCUCAGCACCACA
rnacentral:tRNA from 1 species